AACGAACGCUGGCGGCAGGCCUAACACAUGCAAGUCGAGCGCUCUAGCAAUAGAGAGCGGCGCACGGGUGAGUAACGCGUAGGAAUCUACCUUGUAGUACGGAACAACAGUUGGAAACGACUGCUAAUACCGUAUACGCCCUUCGGGGGAAAGAAUUUCGCUAUAAGAUGAGCCUGCGUUAGAUUAGCUAGUUGGUGAGGUAAUGGCUCACCAAGGCUCCGAUCUAUAGCUGGUCUGAGAGGAUGAUCAGCCACACUGGGACUGAGACACGGCCCAGACUCCUACGGGAGGCAGCAGUGGGGGAUAUUGGGCAGUGGGCGCAAGCCUGACCCAGCCAUGCCGCGUGAGUGAUGACGGCCUCAGGGUUGUAAAGCUCUUUUAGUGGUGAGGAUGAUGACGGUAACCACAGAAAAAGCCCCGGCUAACUUCGUGCCAGCAGCCGCCGUAA
rnacentral:rRNA from 1 species